CACCGCGGUUAUACGAGAGGCCCAAGUUGAUAGAACCUCGGCGUAAAGAGUGGUUAAAAAUUCCUGAAAUUAAAGCUGAAUUCCCUCCUGACUGUUGUACGCACCCGAGGAAUAGAAACUCCACUACGAAAGUGACUUUAAUUUAUUGAACCCACGAAAGCUAAGACA
rnacentral:rRNA from 1 species